GUAGGGUGAAUUAAUAUCAAUAAUUUAUUUUAUUUUUAGUGUAAAUAAAAUAUGUAAGUUGCAAAACAUAAACUUUUAUUGGAUUAUAUAAUGGUCUUCCAUAUUUCUCUAUUUAGAUAUGUAGUAAUGUAAUUAUGACCUUAAUGGCUUUCCUUAUGAUUAAACCAUGCAUGCAGUUGUUGUUCAUGGUCUAUUUAAUUCAUUUUGGUUGGCUAAGCUUAGUGUCAAAGGUUAUAUGUCAUGGGUUUUGUGAGUUCUGUUGGAUUUUUAGAUAGUCAGUUGUAUUCACUAGCAGAGUGUUGAAGGGUGGUUUUCUUUGCAUAUCUUUUGACAUCUUUUUUCUGACUUGAGGUAAGAAAAUGAAUCUUAACAUAUUAAUUGGUGUGAAUGUGUUAAUGAAUGAAAGAAAUGAAAUUAUGUACUUUAUUUCAUAUUUAACAAAGGAGUAAAAUAGAAUUAAUAUUUUAUACAGGUUCCUUGAAAAUCAGUUAUCUUCCUAUUUUUGAUAUUUUGGCUCUGGUACCAUAUAUCUGAGCUGCUAUUUACAUGUCAGAAAUAGAUUUAUUUCUUCAAUAAACUCAUAACCUGUCA